rnacentral:rRNA from 1 species
GAUGAACGCUGGCGGCGUGCCUAAUACAUGCAAGUCGAGCGAAUGGAUUAAGAGCUUGCUCUUAUGAAGUUAGCGGCGGACGGGUGAGUAACACGCGGGUAACCUGCCCAUAAGACUGGGAUAACUCCGGGAAACCGGGGCUAAUACCGGAUAAAAUUUUGAACCGCAUGGUUCGAAAUUGAAAGGAGGCUUAGGCUGUCACUUAUGGCUGCAACCGCGUCGCAUUAGCUAGUUGGUGAGGUAACGGCUAACCAAGGCAACGAUGCGUAGCCCACCUGAGAGGGUGAUCGGCCACACUGGGACUGAGACACGGCCCAGACUCCUACGGGAGGCAGCAGUAGGGAAUCUUCAGCAAUGGACGAAAGUCUGACGGAGCAACGCCGCGUGAGUGAUGAAGGCUUUCGGGUCGUAAAACUCUGUUGUUAGGGAAGAACAAGUGCUAGUUGAAUAAGCUGGCACCUUGACGGUACCUAACCAGAAAGCCACGGCUAACUACGUGCCAGCCGCCGCGGUAA